GUCCCCAUCGUCUAGUGGUCUAGGACAUCGGCCCUUCAGGUCGAAGGCAGAGGUUCGAAUCCUUUUGGGGACGCCA
rnacentral:tRNA from 1 species